UGCUAUAUAAUUAUUUCUAUUUGCAAUUAAAAACAAAACAAAAUAAUCCUUAUAAAAGUUCAAAACUCAACUUUUAAAAUUCAAAAAUUGAUUCUAAAAUUAAUUUAGCUAUAUGAUUGGUAGUAAAAAUAAAAUCUCAUAACGUAAACUUUUUCUAGUUAAAGACAAGAAGAUCCUAUAAAUGCAAGCAAAGUUUCAAACCGCAAUGUUUAUUAAUAACCCUAAAUUGCCUUUUAUUUCUUCUUUCAAUUUACAAUUCUUUACUUCUCUUCAUCUUCAAGGCAUUUCAUUAUUCUCUUGCUUUACUCUCUCUCCCUCUCUCUACUGUAAUUUAUAAUCUCUUAUAAAUAACCUAAUUAAGCUCAUCAUAAAAAGGCCAAUUAAUUAGUGUUUUAUUAGAGAAGAAGAUAAUUAAUGGCUAUGGGGAUCAUUUCAGUGACAAUACCAACUGUUGCUGCUGCUGCUGGAUUCUAUUUCUUGGAUAAUAAAACCAAAUCUAUAUUUCAGGAAAUGGAAAGCGGAAAUGGAGCUAGCACAGUGAAGGAAGAGGUGAAGAAAAGUGGCAAAAUGCCAAAAUUAGCACCUCAAUUUGAUGGGUUGUAUUGUUUUGAGACAUUAGUAGAUCACUAAAAUAAUACUAAUAGAAAUUUAAAUUAUCAUUACCAUAAUUGAAUUCCAAUUAUAUUUGCUAAAGACAAAUUGUUUGGUGUUUCAUCAUAAAUAGAUGAAUUAGGAAAUGGAUAGAUGUUGCUGUAUUCUGUUCUAUUUUGUCUCUAGAAAAGAAAUUAAACUGUCUAUAAAGAUGAACAAGUCUAGAAUUUCUGAUGGAAGAUUAAGAUUCAAAUUGAUGGCCACACUUCUCUUGAAA